AACAUGCAGUCGAGCGGUAGCACAGAGAGCUUGCUCUCGGGUGACGAGCUGGCGGACGGGUGAGUAAUGUCUGGGAAACUGCCUGAUGGAGGGGGAUAACUACUGGAAACGGUAGCUAAUACCGCAUAAUCGUCGCAAGACCAAAGAUGGGGGACCUUCGGGCCUCAUUGCCAUCAGAUGUGCCCAGAUGGGAUUAGCUAGUAGGUGGGGUAACGGCUCACCUAGGCGACGAUCCCUAGCUGGUCUGAGAGGAUGACCAGCCACACUGGAACUGACGUACACGGUCCAGACUCCUACGGGAGGCAGCAGUGGGGAAUAUUGCACAAUGGGCGCAAGCCUGAUGCACGCCCAUGCCGUCGUGUGCAUGAAGUAAGGCCUUCGGAUGUUGUAAAGUACACU
rnacentral:rRNA from 1 species